ACAAUGGAGAGUUUGAUCCUGGCUCAGGAUGAACGCUGGCGGCGUGCCUAAUACAUGCAAGUCGAACGCGAGCCUUCGG
rnacentral:rRNA from 1 species